UGGUAAUAUUUUUUUUUCUUGGCCCUCAGGGUCUUGUAACGUACAUCUUGUUAAUCGAGAAUGAGAAAGAGAUUUUGUUACCUUGUCCGCACUUUGCAUCAAAUUGUCACCUGUCGAGCUUCUAUCAUUCGCUAUUGUUAUUGUUGUAUUCCCCUCCUCUUUUUCUUUUCUUCUUCAACCUUAAGGGCUCUGUAAUGCAUAUUUAGUAAAUAACAUGAGAAGGGGAUUUUUCGCUACCUCUUUUACUCACGUGUUCAAUUGUCGUUCGCCGAUCUUCCUUCGGC
rnacentral:lncRNA from 1 species